UACUGUUUGAUUGGAUUUUGUGAAAUGUGU
rnacentral:piRNA from 1 species